rfam:Thioploca ingrica DNA, complete genome.
GUCAACUACCCCGCCCUAAAGGACGGAGCUUGUCAAAGCGAGGUUGACCAGACUCAGCACUCGAAAGAGUGCUACGCCAUACCGAGGUCGUUAAGACUUACCAGCAGAUGCUUCCUGAGUCUGCUGCUCUAAAAGGCUUUAAUCAUGCUGGGGAAAGGUAAAGCCCCGAAGGUUUUAGUCGUGGCUGGCCACAGCCAGAGCCGCGGGGUGGCCUUGUCGAAGGGAGAUGGU